GAUGAACGCUGGCGGCGUGCCUAAUACAUGCAAGUCGAGCGAACGGACGAGAAGCUUGCUUCUCUGAUGUUAGCGGCGGACGGGUGAGUAACACGUGGAUAACCUACCUAUAAGACUGGGAUAACUUCGGGAAACCGUAGCUAAUACCGGAUAAUAUUUUGAACCGCAUGGUUCAAAAGUGAAAGACGGUCUUGCUGUCACUUAUAGAUGGAUCCGCGCUGCAUUAGCUAGUUGGUAAGGUAACGGCUUACCAAGGCAACGAUGCAUGGCCGACCUGAGAGGGGGAUCGGCCACACUGGAACUGAGACACGGUCCAGACUCCUACGGGAGGCAGCAGUAGGGAAUCUUCCGCAAUGGGCGAAAGCCUGACGGAGCAACGCCGCGUGAGUGAUGAAGGUCUUCGGAUCGUAAAACUCUGUUAUGAGGGAAGAACAUAUGUGUAAGUAACUGUGCACAUCUUGACGGUACCUAAGCAGAAAGCCACGGCUAACUACGU
rnacentral:rRNA from 1 species